UUAUAGUCCUGAGAGUUGAACACUGGAUGACUGACAGCUGUCCUUCAUGACAACAGAAGCCACAGAAAUCCUCCUCUUCAUCAAAAACAUGACUUUGACCUCCGUCCUCAUCUGGACUCUCCUCUGCUGCUGCUUCACAGAGUCCAGAGGUCAGGUCACAGUGACUCAGCCUGGAGCAGUGAGCUCUGCUCUGGGAGGCUCCGUCACCAUCAGCUGUAGGACCAGUCAGCGGGUUUAUGGUGGGAGCGUUUUGCACUGGUACCAACAGAGAGAUGGAGAACCUCCUAAACUGCUCAUUUAUACAACUAGCAAUCGAGCAUCAGGGAUUCCAAGUCGUUUUUCAGGCAGUGGAUCAAACUCUGACUUCACUCUGACCAUCAGUGGAGUUCAGGCUGAAGAUGCAGCAGUUUACUACUGUCAGAGUUUUCAUGAGAUCAACAGUCAGCAAGUGUUCACACAGUGAAAAAGCGUCGUACAAAAACCUCCCUCAGUCAGACUGAACAGAAACUGAAGUGACUGCUGCAGCUGGAAGCUACUGCAGAGACUGAUACACUUCACUGAGGACACACACACACACACACACACACACACACACACACACACACACACACA